GUACCUCUUUGUUAGGUACAGCCUAAGUUAAAAAAAUCUGUUCUUAUCAGUUUAAUAUCUGAUACGUCCCCUAUCUGGGGACCAUAUAUUAAAUGGAUUUUUGGAACAGGGAGAUGGAAGAAGAGCUUGCUCUGUCCACUCCACGCAUCGACCUGGUAUUGCAGUACCUCCAGGACCGGUGCACCUCUC
rnacentral:snRNA from 1 species